rnacentral:pre_miRNA from 1 species
GUUUAUAUACCCCUAGAAAGAAGUUAGAGGGGGUAAAGAGCCCCCUCUAACUUCUUUCUAGGGGUAUAUAAACA